CUAUAAAAUUGAUCAGCAUUUUGGGAAUUCCUUUGCGGUACGAUUAACCUUUGACUGCAAAUGCUGUAUAUAAAAAAUUGUAUUUACUUGGACAACUUACAGCGUAUAGUUUGAAGAAAACAAUGUUCAGUAAAAAUCGGUGGGGUAUCUACGACAAGAUAAUCCAGAGGAUCCCAUGCUACUUGGCGUAACAAUUUGUCGAUUGCGCUCAUUACCAUUAAUCCCCUCCAUAUUACGGGAGAUUUUUCAUCAAUUAAAAAGCCCAUUGACAUGCUAUGUACAAAAACAAGUUAACAAUCUUGAUUUAUAGCGGGAUUGUCUUAUAUUCAUCAUCAGAGGUACCGACGGACCAAAUACAUCGGCAUCGAGUAAGCCGAUAGACUUGUUUGGCUCGAGAAUUUUCAAAGCAGUCGAUAAAUUUACAGCGGUGGUAGAUUUACCGACACCUCCCU